UACGGGGGGGGCAAGCGUUGUUCGGAAUUACUGGGCGUAAAGGGCUCGUAGGGGGCCAACUAAGUCAGACGUGAAAUCCCUCGGCUUAACCGGGGAACUGCGUCUGAUACUGGAUGGCUUGAGAUUGGGAGAGGGAUGCGGAAUUCCAGGUGUAGCGGUGAAAUGCGUAGAUAUCUGGAGGAAUACCGGUGGCGAAGGCGGCAUCCUGGACCGGCAUUGACGCUGAUGAGCGAAAGCUAGGGGAGCAAACGGG
rnacentral:rRNA from 1 species